AGUAAAGCUAGAUAUGAUGCCAUUGAUUCUGUUGGAGGAAGAUCCACAGGAAAGAGAAUUGCUUUUGCUAAAGAAACAACAAUAAAAUAAGCUCUUGCUCACUGAAUUGUGGAGAGGGAUUGAAGGGGCUAACAUCCCAUCAAGAUUUCCCAUAAGAUUUCGAGGUAAGAAAUCAAGUUUACACUUAAAAAAUCAAGUUCGAUCCAGAUCUUGAGAUGCCACACAAGAACAGAAGCAUCGUUAGCUUUGAGAUGGCUAACUUGGUAAGCCACACUUUUCAUGUGUGCCAUUGAGAUUUUUUUGGUUUUAGUCAUUUUGUAUUGAACUCUGCACUCACUCUAUCGACCCCCUUGGAUUGUCAUAGUAAUAUAGCAUCCAUUUUAUGAAUUGCAUGAUUUUGUUGGGGUUGUACCCCAAACUUUAUGCUCUGUACUGUGAGCUGAUUCUAUAUACUUGGUGUUGAGACAUAUUAUGUGGUUUAAGUGUAAGGCUUGAUACAGAUUGUUUGACGACUAAUUAACUGUAUCAAUCCAUCCCAUAAGGAAUACGAAGAAAGUUUUGAACUGAAACAUUGUGCUAAUCAGAAAUGAUAGGCAUACUUGCAAACAAUCAAACAGUAACAAAGGCAAAGCUUGAAAAUUCCUUACAGAGAGAGGGGGGGAAGAGUCAACCACACCAAGUGGAA